rnacentral:lncRNA from 1 species
UUCAGUAUCCGACAAAUUCACUAGAUAUUCACAAAGAGAUCAACGAUCUUCAAAGUCCCAAUAAAUUCAUGGGAUAUUUAUAGAUCAAAACCAUCUCUUGUUGAUUAUCAAAUACAUCAAGAAGACAAACCUUCCUUUCAUGGAGAUCAAAUCCAAAUGUUUCUACGUUCGAGAAAUACGCCACUAACGGUCCUUGAAUUACGGAGAAAUUCAUAUCAAAAUCUUCAUACAUUUGAGAAAUAUGCUACUGACGGUCCUCGAAUUACGGAGAAAAUCAAGAGAGAAGAAUAAAAGGAGGAACAGAUUUGUACCCCCUCGUUUAUCAAUAAAACUGUUGUUUUAUCAUAUUUUUAUAUGUGGUUGAAGUUUAUUUUCCAUGAAUUAAAUUAUGUUGGAAAUAAAUUGGCACGCUCAAUGGAACCAAAUAUGUCCUUCAUCUCUUCUCUCAUAAAUCAACCAAAUCUGCCCUUCAUCUCUUUUCUCAUAAAUCAAAUAUGUAAAUUUGUAACCGCAGGAUCGUAAAGAUGGAAGCGGUACUUCAAAACUCGUCUUUGAGUUUCAUCAAGUCUACACUCCGACAAGCCUUGAAGCAGGGACAAUUGUAGACAUUUAAAAUUUGUGGGACUCUACAAAAAGAAUCCAAAUUCUAUUACAGUUCUAAGAAUCUAAUUUACCCUAAAUCCUGAAUUAUGCCUAUAUAAAGAGACAAAUAUUCCCUUAAAAGGCAUCUUGAAUAUCUCAGGAAUUCAUGGGAUAUUCAUAGAUCAGAAUUCCCUCUUCUUGAUAAUUAAAUACAUCAAGAAAUCCAUAUUCCUAUAUUCGAGAAAUACGCUACGGCCCUCGAAUUAUGGAGAUCCAUAUUCCUCUGUUCGAGAAAUACGUUACGAUCCUCGAAUUAUGGAGAAAAUCAUGAG